rnacentral:rRNA from 1 species
AGCUCCAAUAGCGUAUACUAAUUUUGUUGCAGUUAAAAGCUCGUAGUUGGAUUUCUUUUCUUUGUAGCUAGGGCCCUUCACCUUGAAGGUUUCCUUGCAACAAUGAAAAACAUUUGUUCCAAACCAUUCGAAUACUGUAAUGGUGUUCGGGUGUUAAGGGACUCGUUUACUUUGAGAAAUUAGAGUGUUCAAAGCAGGCUAUAUGCCUUGAAUAUGUUAGCAUGGAAUAAUAACAUAGGACUUUAGUUCUAUUUGUUGGUUGUUCGAGAACUGGAGUAAUGAUUGAUAGGGACGGUUGGGGGCAUCUGUAUUCUCAAGCGAGAGGUGAAAUUCUUGGACCUUGGGAAGACAAACAGCUGCGAAAGCGUUUGCCUAGGACGUUCUCU